rnacentral:rRNA from 1 species
UACGUAGGUGACAAGCGUUGUCCGGAUUUACUGGGCGUAAAGAGCGCGCAGGCGGUCGAUCAAGUCGAGUGUGAAAGCCCCCGGCUCAACUGGGGAGGGUCAUUCGAUACUGAUCGACUCGAAGGCAGGAGAGGGUAGUGGAAUUCCCGGUGUAGCGGUGAAAUGCGUAGAUAUCGUAAGGAAGACCAGUGGCGAAGGCGGGUCUCUGGACAGUUCCUGACGCUGAGGCACGAAGGUCAGGGGAGCAAACGGG